GAUGAACGCUGGCGGCGUGCCUAAUACAUGCAAGUCGAGCGAACGGACGAGAAGCUUGCUUCUCUGAUGUUAGCGGCGGACGGGUGAGUAACACGUGGAUAACCUACCUAUAAGACUGGGAUAACUUCGGGAAACCGUAGCUAAUACCGGAUAAUAUUUUGAACCGCAUGGUUCAAAGGUGAAAGACGGUCUUGCUGUCACUUAUAGAUGGAUCCGCGCUGCAUUAGCUAGUUGGUAAGGUAACGGCUUACCAAGGCAACGAUGCAUAGCCGACCUGAGAGGGUGAUCGGCCACACUGGAACUGAGACACGGUCCAGACUCCUACGGGAGGCAGCAGUAGGGAAUCUUGCGCAAUGGGCGAAAGCCUGACGGAGCAACGCCGCGUGAGUGAUGAAGGUCUUCGGAUCGUAAAACUCUGUUAUUAGGGAAGAACAUAUGUGUAAGUAACUGUGCACAUCUUGACGGUACCUAAUCAGAAAGCCACGGCUAACUACGUG
rnacentral:rRNA from 1 species